GGUUAAACCGUCUUGGAGGAUGAUUGACGCCAUCCUGCGGAGGUUCUCUGACCGCCCCCCUUCUUUCCAACCAGUCCCAUUUCUCUUACACCAUACUACUACACAGAUCGCCAAAUAUAAGAAAUCCCUGAUGAUUCGGAUUUUAAAUACGGCCAAACAAGUCAUCCCUUUACACUGGAAGCAGGAACUCACACCACCCUUCACGGUCUGGUUUCACAAAAUGGAGGAAUUAUGAAAACUGGCAGAACUGAUAUACACAACACAAGACCACUUUCAGGUUUAUGUAGACACAUGGACACACUAGCUGACAAUUGCUUAUGAUGCUGACAUUCAAAAGCUACUGACAUAUGGGACGCAAGGAGCAUAGCGGGCGUGGUAGGAAUGGG